GACGAACGCUGGCGGCGUGCCUAAUACAUGCAAGUCGAACGCUGCUUAAGAAGAAACUUCGGUUUUUUCUUAAGCGGAGUGGCGGACGGGUGAGUAACACGUGGGGAACCUAUCCAUCAGCGGGGGAUAACACUUGGAAACAGGUGCUAAUACCGCAUACGGCUUUUUUUCACCUGAAAGAAAGCUCAAAGGCGCUUUACAGCGUCACUGAUGGCUGGYCCCGCGGUGCAUUAGCCAGUUGGUGAGGUAACGGCUCACCAAAGCAACGAUGCAUAGCCGACCUGAGAGGGUGAUCGGCCACACUGGGACUGAGACACGGCCCAGACUCCUACGGGAGGCAGCAGUAGGGAAUCUUCGGCAAUGGACGCAAGUCUGACCGAGCAACGCCGCGUGAGUGAAGAAGGUUUUCGGAUCGUAAAGCUCUGUUGUCAGCAAAGAACAGGAGAAAGAGGMAAUGCUUUUUCUAUGACGGUAGCUGACCAGAAAGCCACGGCUAACUACGUGC
rnacentral:rRNA from 1 species